rnacentral:rRNA from 1 species
UACGUAGGCAGCGAGCGUUGUUCGGAGUUACUGGGCGUAAAGGGUGUGUAGGCGGUUUUCUAAGUUUGGUGUGAAAUCUCCCGGCUCAACCGGGAGGGUGCGCCGAAAACUGGGAGACUAGAGUGCGGGAUGGGAGAGUAGAAUUCCUGGUGUAGCGGUGAAAUGCGUAGAUAUCAGGAGGAAUACCGGUGGUGUAGACGGCUCUCUGGACCGCCACUGACGCUGAGACACGAAAAGCGUGGGUAGCAAACAGG